rnacentral:rRNA from 1 species
AUUGAACGCUGGCGGCAGGCCUAACACAUGCAAGUCGAACGAGUGGCGGACGGGUGAGGAAUGUCUGGGAAACUGCCUGAUGGAGGGGGAUAACUACUGGAAAAGGUAGCUAAUACCGCAUACCAGCAGGUGGGGCCAGAUGGGAGUAGCUAGUUGGUGGGGGAACGGCGCACCAAGGCGACGAUCCCGAGCUGGUCUGAGAGGAUGACCAGCCACGCUGGGACUGAGACACGGUCCAGACUCCUACGGGAGGCAGCAGUUGGGAAUAUUGCACAAUGGGCGCAAGCCUGAUGCAGCCAUGCCGCGUGUGUGAAGAAGGCCUUCGGGUUGUAAAGUACUUUCAGCGGGGAGGCGUUACCCGCAGAUGAAGCACCGGCUAACUCCGUGCCAGCAGCCGCGGUAAUAC